GAUGAACGCUGACAGAAUGCUUAACACAUGCAAGUCCACUUGAAUUUGGGUUUUUAACUUAGGUUUGGGUGGCGGACGGGUGAGUAACGCGUAAAGAACUUGCCUCACAGCUAGGGACAACAUUUGGAAACGAAUGCUAAUACCUAAUAUUAUGAUAAUAGGGCAUCCUAUAAUUAUGAAAGCUAUAAGCGCUGUGAGAGAGCUUUGCGUCCCAUUAGCUAGUUGGAGAGGUAACGGCUCACCAAGGCGAUGAUGGGUAGCCGGCCUGAGAGGGUGAUCGGCCACAAGGGGACUGAGACACGGCCCGUACUCCUACGGGAGGCAGCAGUGGGGAAUAUUGGACAAUGGACCGAGAGUCUGAUCCAGCAAUUCUGUGUGCACGAUGAAGUUUUUCGGAAUGUAAAGUGCUUUCAGUUGGGAAGAAACAAAUGACGGUACCAACAGAAGAAGUGACGGCUAAAUACGUG
rnacentral:rRNA from 1 species